rnacentral:rRNA from 1 species
GAAGCUUGCUUCCAAUAGGCGUCGACCGGCGCACGGGUGAGUAACGCGUAUCCAACCUGCCCACCACUUGGGGAUAACCUUGCGAAAGUAAGACUAAUACCCAAUGAUAUCUCUAGAAGGCAUCUGAAAGAGAUUAAAGAUUUAUCGGUGAUGGAUGGGGAUGCGUCUGAUUAGCUUGUUGGCGGGGUAACGGCCCACCAAGGCAACGAUCAGUAGGGGUUCUGAGAGGAAGGUCCCCCACAUUGGAACUGAGACACGGUCCAAACUCCUACGGGAGGCAGCAGUGAGGAAUAUUGGUCAAUGGACGAGAGUCUGAACCAGCCAAGUAGCGUGCAGGAUGACGGCCCUAUGGGUUGUAAACUGCUUUUAUAAGGGAAUAAAGUGAGCCUCGUGAGGCUUUUUGCAUGUACCUUAUGAAUAAGGACCGGCUAAUUCCGUGCCAGCAGCCGCGGUAAUACGGAAGGUCCGGGCGUUAUCCGGAUUUAUUGGGUUUAAAGGGAGCGUAGGCCGGAGAUUAAGCGUGUUGUGAAAUGUAGACGCUCAACGUCUGCACUGCAGCGCGAACUGGUUUCCUUGAGUACGCACAAAGUGGGCGGAAUUCGUGGUGUAGCGGUGAAAUGCUUAGAUAUCACGAAGAACUCCGAUUGCGAAGGCAGCUCAC